GAUGAACGCUGGCGGCGUGCCUAAUACAUGCAAGUCGAGCGAACAGACGAGGAGCUUGCUCCUCUGACGUUAGCGGCGGACGGGUGAGUAACACGUGGAUAACCUACCUAUAAGACUGGGAUAACUUCGGGAAACCGGAGCUAAUACCGGAUAAUAUAUUGAACCGCAUGGUUCAAUAGUGAAAGACGGUUUUGCUGUCACUUAUAGGUGGAUCCGCGCCGCAUUAGCUAGUUGGUAAGGUAACGGCUUACCAAGGCAACGAUGCGUAGCCGACCUGAGAGGAUGAUCAGCCACACUGGAACUGAGACACGGUCCAGACUCCUACGGGAGGCAGCAGUAGGGAAUCUUCCGCAAUGGGCGAAAGCUUGACGGAGCAACGCCGCGUGAGUGAUGAAGGUCUUCGGAUCGUAAAACUCUGUUAUUAGGGAAGAACAAAUGUGUAAGUAACUAUGCACGUCUUGACGGUACCUAAUCAGAAAGCCACGGCUAACUACGUG
rnacentral:rRNA from 1 species